GGAUUGUGGCUCAGCGGUAGAGUGCUCGCCUAGCAUGUGUGAGGCCCUGGGUUCUAUCCUCAGCACCA
rnacentral:tRNA from 1 species